rnacentral:rRNA from 1 species
UACGAAGGGGGCUAGCGUUGUUCGGAAUUACUGGGCGUAAAGGGCGCGUAGGCGGCGUGUCAAGUCAGGCGUGAAAGCCCCGGGCUCAACCUGGGAACCGCGCUUGAGACUGGCAUGCUCGAGUUCGGGAGAGGAUGGUGGAAUUCCCAGUGUAGAGGUGAAAUUCGUAGAUAUUGGGAAGAACACCGAUGGCGAAGGCAGCCAUCUGGACCGACACUGACGCUGAGGUGCGAAAGCGUGGGGAGCAAACAGG